AUUGAACGCUGGCGGCAGGCCUAACACAUGCAUGUCGAGCGGAUGAAGGGAGCUUGCUCCUGGAUUCAGCGGCGGACGGGUGAGUAAUGCCUAGGAAUCUGCCUGGUAGUGGGGGAUAACGUCCGGAAACGGGCGCUAAUACCGCAUACGUCCUGAGGGAGAAAGUGGGGGAUCUUCGGACCUCACGCUAUCAGAUGAGCCUAGGUCGGAUUAGCUAGUUGGUGGGGUAAAGGCCUACCAAGGCGACGAUCCGUAACUGGUCUGAGAGGAUGAUCAGUCACACUGGAACUGAGACACGGUCCAGACUCCUACGGGAGGCAGCAGUGGGGAAUAUUGGACAAAGGGCGAAAGCCUGAUCCAGCCAUGCCGCGUGUGUGAAGAAGGUCUUCGGAUUGUAAAGCACUUUAAGUUGGGAGGAAGGGCAGUAAGUUAAUACCUUGCUGUUUUGACGUUACCAACAGAAUAAGCACCGGCUAACUUCGUG
rnacentral:rRNA from 1 species